rnacentral:rRNA from 1 species
AGGACGAACGCUGGCGGCGCGCCUAAAACAUGCAAGUCGAACGUGAAGCCCGGAGCUUGCUCCGGGUGGAAAGUGGCGAACGGGUGAGGAACACGUGAGGAACCUGCCCCAGAGACCGGGAUAACACCGGGAAACCGGUGCUAAUACCGGAUACCCUCAUCGGACCGCAUGAUCCGAUGAGGAAAUGGAUUCCGCUCUGGGAUGGUCUCGCGGCCUAUCAGCUUGUUGGUGAGGUAACGGCUCACCAAGGCUUCGACGGGCAGCUGGUCUGAGAGGAUGUCCAGCCACGCUGGGACUGAGACACGGCCCAGACUCCUACGGGAGGCAGCAGUUAGGAAUCUUGCGCAAUGGGCGAAAGCCUGACGCAGCGACGCCGCGUGCGGGAUGAAUGCCUUCGGUUGUAAACCGCUUUCAGCAGGACGACAUUGACGGUACCUGCGAGAAGAAGCCCGGCCAACUACGUCGCCAGCAGCCGC